rnacentral:lncRNA from 1 species
AGAAGUAUGAGGAAAUGAAACUAAGUUUCUGUCUUGAGGAGGAAGAGUGAAAGAUAAUAGAGAAAGAAAAAAAUAUCUUGUUAAAAUGCAAAGCAGAUAAACAGAAGCAGAGCUCAAGUGAAAGAGGGCAGAAGGAGAUGGGAAGAAGGCAUGGUUCACUGAGGACAGCUUCCUGCUAGACCUGCUGGUUGUGCUGAAGGAUACUGACUGCAAGCAUCAAGAUGUCUGGUCUGGAUAAGGAUUUAUUUAUUGAGAAACCACGCAAGAGGAACAAUCUUAGUUUGUACAUCAGAGAACAGGGAUUGAGCAUUGAGGAAGUUUACUAUUAUUAUUGAUGCCUAAAAGAAAGAAAAAAAAAUACUGCAUUAAGAAAUCUUAGAGACCCUUUUCAGCUGCUUCCUUCAGACAUCACACAAUCCUGAGCAAUGAACGCAGAUUAGAGGACACCUGGAAACCCAGAGAAGCCCAGUCUCAAGGAAACAAGGAGUACUGGAAGCCCAGAAUUUAACCAUCUGCAUUAAGGCAGAGUCCACUCUAAUCUGCUUGAAAAGGAAGCCAUGAAAAUGCUGACUUCACUUCUGGAGCAGCCCUCGUACUCCCUGAUACUGAGGAGGUUCACCCUUGGAGAUUCAUAAAUCCAAUACAUGACCUGUGAUGAAGAUAAGUACAAGCAAAACCAAAAACUAGAGGAAGAUUAAAUGAAUUCCUACUGGGUUUUCCAGGACCUCAGCCUGGUUCACAUGCAGUUCCUGGUUUCUGCCAGCAGCUUGCGCCGUUUAUCUUCUUCGCACCCAGAAGCACAAGACUUCCAACAGAAAUCUCUCUGGAGCUGCAAGUGUGACAAACAAGAGGAACAACACGAAGGCUGUAAAAGAGAAGCAUCCCUACUUUUGAUCCGCCUCUGGGUGGUGUAUUGAAAGUAGGAAUCAGGUAAAUAGGGACUUUGUAUGAAGGUUAAGUAUCCUAGGCUUUGGGGAGUGUCAGAAGAAAAGGACCAGUGGGACAUGUUGACAUCACUAUAGUUAUUUCUUGGAAAUUUGAUGAAUAUGUAUGCGCUUGCUAUAUAACUUUCUAAUGCUUCUGUCCAUUGCAUGAUAGGAGGGGUGAUCCCCCAUGUGCCCAGCGCUGAAUAAACAUGUACCUGCUUUGUAACCUAAUUCUGGU